AGAACACGUCUUUUGAAUUUUGCAUCUUCAGCCUUGUAGGCUGUAGUGAGCCAGUGUAAAGCAAUAGAAAGUCAUGACAACUGUGGCAGAUCUCCCCAUAGCAUUAAAUUCAAAACAUUGCUGAAGCCUAACAAAACAGAUCCACAGGCUGAAUUCAGUCUGGGUCUCCAGCUUUCAAUGCCUGAAAUUUUGGGUUGGGUGAGGUUUCUCCCAACCAGAGAGAAGACUGGCUAGAAGAUUGCUUAAGCAUCAACCCACCCUCUCACCAGUCAGUCUUACUAAGAUGCGGAGUCAUUAAGCUGGUAUUCUGCAGCUCUCUCGAAGCAGGCUUGCACCCCACCAUCCUUCCACAACCUCCUAAUGACCUCCACGAGCUCAGGAGGCAUGGUUCCCUCCUCAAUGGAGUCAGCCAGGUUGUUGAGCUGUCGCCCGUCAUCCUGUAAUGCAGAAACCUGGUUAAGAACUUCACAGGAGUAAUAGCUUUCCAGGAGGCUUCUGGGAAUACUGCUGAAUGGAAAUCAUUUUACAUUACUACGAAGACCUAAGAUGGAAGCAGUAUCCAGUGAAGAUUCUAUGUAAGAAAACAUACUGUUGAAUUUUUGAGUAUGCUCCCCAGAUGCAGAGGGUGGCACUAUACCCAGCCCUGGGGUGUGUCUAAAGCGGGGCAGGGGUCCCAGGUAUUUCCUCUCUGGAGUUUCUGGCUUCCAUCCUUAGUCUGAAAGUUUACCGCCACAAAACGUGGGUCCUCUGCUGCAGAGAGACUGAAAAUGUAAAGGCCAGAUUGACCAUGAAAUAGACAAGAUAGAAGACAGGGACCCAUCACCUUUGUUCUUCAGCGAUUGAAAGCUAGAAAAAGUCCAGUACUAGAAGUAGGGAUUUCACUUACAAAAGUUCCAUGGCCAGGAACCCAAGGGUAGCAAUUUAAAUGGUAAAGUAAAAAAGCAGAGGAAGCUGUGAGCAGCUUUAUUUUGUAAAUAUGUGUUAUAAAGUAGGGCUUGAGGACAGGCACGGUGGCUCACACCUGUAAUCUCAACACUUUCGGAGUCUGAGGCAGGAGGAUUGCUUAAGGCCAGGAGUUUGACACCAGCCUAGACAAGAUGGCAAGACCCCUUCUCUACAAAAAAAUUUUAAAAAAUAGCUGGGUGUGGUGGUGCACACCUGUGGUCCCACCUACUGGGGCUGAGGUGGGAGAAUCACUUAAGCCUGGGAGGGUGAGAUUGCAGUGAGCCAUGAUCACACCACUGCAUUCCAGCCUGGGUAAGAGAGGAAGACCCUGUCCCAGUAAAAAUAAGGGUGGAUGUUGCUUACUUCUCCAGGACUGCAUAAUUGUGGUGUAUUAUGAAAAAUAUUCAGCUUUGUAGUCAAGCAGCCCAAUGCAAAUGCAGUCUCUGCUAUUUAUCUACAUGACCUUGGGCAGUUAAUUAACUUCUCUGAACUUCAGUUUUUCCAUGUGUAAAAUGAGGCUAAUUAGAAAGGUACCGUCUACCUUAAGGUCUUACUGCGUAGAUGGGUAAAGGGCCUUGAGAUGGUAUACACAGUACACCUAGCAGUGAGAUCCCACCCAGCAGGUGGGAUUUUAGUUACUAUUUUUCUUACCCAUCUUUCCAUAUAGUUUGUUGGCCUCUGGUAUGUUUCUUCUUGCUAGCCUUUCUGCUUCCACCCUUAACCACAUAAUAGUAAUCACAUACCGCACAGCUUGGUUCAGCAUAAUCGAUGCCCAGUGUGGUCAUGGCCCGGAUGAUAGCCAGGAUGGACUGCAGCACAUUUCCAUAGAUGAUAGCCUUGAACUCCAGGCAUUCUUCUGGUGAAUAGCCAUCCUGGUGAAUGAUCCUGCAAGGGGCAGACACUCUGUCUUUAGCUGGACCUGAGUAACCAGACCUAAGGGAUUAGGAAUUUGGGGGUAUUUAAAGGAUCAUAAGAAUCCUAUCUCUCUGUUGCUACUCCUUUCACUUUGAAUACCUCCACUGGCUGUACUGACUUCUUCA
rnacentral:lncRNA from 10 species